CUGUGCCUUCACAGUGCCACUUUUCGACUCUGACUAUCCUGCGUCUGUAGGCUUCACUUUCUCCUUAUACACAUGGAGAACAGAGGUUGAGGGCAUUGCUGGCGAGGUCAGUAUUUAUGGCCCAUCUCAGAGGAUAGUUAAGAGUCAACCACAUUGCUCCACAUCUAGAGUCACAUGUAUUCCAGACCAGAUAUCACUGGCUGGUCCAUGCUGAAUUGAACUUGAGAAGGUGUUUUUCAGCUGCCUUCUUGAACCACUGCAGUCCCUUUGGUGUAGGUGCAAUCCCUAAUGACGUUACGGAGGCAGUUCUGUGAUUUUGAUCCAGCAACAUUGAAGAAAUAGUGAUACAUUCUCAAGUCUGGAUGGAGACUGCAAAUUCCUUUCUAUGCCUCAAAGUCAAUGUACAUGCAAAAGUCAAUGAAACAGAUGUGUUAGCAGCUACAAAGCCUGGAUUCACACAGUUAACUGAAUCAAUGGAUAUUUUAUUUUACUGCUCGAAACAGUUUAGAUAUGCUCGGCGGUCAAAGGGCUGUGGCUAAUCGGCGGCGGCAAAUCUGCUGUGGCGAAUGGUCCCAUCCAGAUUUGGAGAAGUAAAAUCGUACCCUUGUGUACUGGUUGGCUUGCCAUAAUCCUGCUGCGAGGGCCCUUUUGUGCAGCUGAUGUUAACUGUUAAACACAAACCACUUGAUGCAUUGCGCCAGAGUGGUGCAGCUAAAACUGUGGAUUUUUAAAGUUGAAAGAGAGAGCUACUGAAAAGCAACAGCAAGGAAGUAAAUUUAAAACAAGAGUUUGCAACUUUAAAUUACUGGGUGAAUCAAAAGGCAGUGAAUAUUCUACUCUGCUGCUGUGGAAAUGAAAGGGGAGAUACGAAACAGAACAAGAGCUUUUUUGUACCUACUCUGUGAUAAAACUAUGCAAUAAGUGUGUAAUUAAUUAAAAAUGAGCCUAUAAAGAUGACUGCUAGAGAGAUACUAACUGAUGAUUCUGACAAAUCAUCGUAUGACAUACAACAGGUUGUCAUCCUUAGGUCCAAGCAUAAUAAAGGGUUUGUGAAUGUUAGAAUGCUGACUGAAAAAAAGUGCCAGAAAGACACCAUACAACAUCAUGAACUUCAUAGACAUGUGCAAAUUCACUCAAAACAGUGACCCAAAAAUAAAGCUGCAGAAGAUACGUUUCAGACUUUAUGAUGACAUCAUACUUAUGCAAGAGGACAUAUGAAGCUGCAAGUGCAAUACAAUGAGAAGUGUGAACAUAUGAAGUUCCAGAUAAACAUCAAGAUAAAUCCACUCACCUGAGCUGAAGUAAAUCUAAAGCUUGGACAAAGUCUAAAUGAACUCGAGGGUUUUACAGCAUUUGCGGUUCACUGAUCGAUUGACUGCUGAACAGAUCCUAGAAGAUUAUAAACAUAUUUUCACUUCUUGGAUGUCUCCUUGCUGAAAAUUGCCAAAUGGAUCACAAAGAAAUCCAAGCAAAAUUAGCACGGGCUUGUAGAAGGCAACUCCUAAAGGAAAAAAUACACAUCCUGAAACUAUGGAAAGUAGUCCAGUGUAAAAACUAAUGACACUGCACAUCCAUGUUGCUGUUCCAAAAGCAAAAAAAAAACUAAAGCCAGAGCAUGAAGUGGUAUCAGGCAUGAGUGGCAAGGUCAAGGUGAAAAUUCAGAAAGACACAUUUCACUUUGACAUAACUGCAGUCAUAGUCAAAUUCGAGCAUUGGAGAGCCAGUUGUAUUGCAAACAUUCAACACUCUUGACAAAGUUCAACCCACACAGUAAUUUGGGGCCUGCAUAGAGAAGAUGUUACUUCAAAUCUUUGUAGUAAAUAUGAAUUACUAGAUAUAUCAUUGCAACUGCAGGCAUCUAUGCUUGACUACAAUGGAAGCUGUAUUUGAAAAUAAAAUGUCCAUUAAUCUUUCUGUACAGCUUCAUUGUAGGCAAGGGAUCUGGAAGAAGUGAUCUCAAAAUGUAAAGAGUAUAGAAUGACCAUUAAUCCAAGAAGUCCAUCAUUCUAAGCAACAGAAAUAGAUAAGCCAUCAUUGUCAUGACCAUAGCACUCACAAAGGAAAUUAUACUCUCUGGAGAAAGCGCUUUAUCCAAGUAAUGUGUAGCUACCACAGGAACAGGCAAUGGCAACACGCACAGAUAUCGUUAGGCGAUCUGUAUGAGUUAAAGUCUAUUUAUGGCAUGUAUGUGCAGAAACUGAUUAAAUUGGA